CUUGAAGGACUCUCCCUCCUCUUGUUUGAUGUCAAGGAGGGAGUCCGACGUCCGCCGCUGGGGCUGGCUAGCGGCAAAAUUACUGGCAAACUGCCUGCCGAGCUGCUCAAAGGAGGAGACAGUACUCGGCUUCAGCCCGGUGAACCAAAGCCGGGCCGGUCCUCGGAGCGUUGCUGGAAAGGCUUUGCACAUCAUGGCCUCCGAGGCUCCUUGUAGGGCCAUUAAGACCCGAU
rnacentral:lncRNA from 1 species